AGCUGUAGAAACUGUACUAGGUAUUAUAGAUUCAACAAUGUUUUCUAUCCUUCCAUGACACACAGCUUAGGAGUGAUUGGACAGCAUGGAUGGAUGGAUAGAUAUAGAGACAGACAGAUGAUGGCAAUACCCAACCUGUACUUUACUUUUGUGUGGCAGUACCAGUUCUAAGGAGCUUCACAGUGGGCUUCAUUUACCCUCACUGUCCUGAGAUGGAGUUUAGACGCUCAACUGAACUACCAUUUGCCACAAGGUAUUGGAACUCAGAGUGUCUCUGUCUCUCCUACUAGUCUGUGGGCCUUCGAGGGUAAGGAUCAUGUUCCUAUAGUGUCAGCACUUACUACAGAGACUAGCAAAUAGUAAGUAUGCAAUGAAAUUUGUUGAAUAACUAAAUAAAUGAGUGGGUUUAUAUACAUAAGAAUAUCACCAGAU
rnacentral:lncRNA from 1 species